rnacentral:rRNA from 1 species
UACGUAGGGGGCUAGCGUUGUCCGGAAUCAUUGGGCGUAAAGCGCGUGUAGGCGGUCCGGUAAGUCCGCUGUGAAAGUCGGGGGCUCAACCUCGGAUGCCGGUGGAUACUGUCGGGCUUGAGUACGGAAGAGGCGAGUGGAAUUCCUGGUGGUAGCGGUGAAAUGCGCAGAUAUCAAGGAGGAACACCAAUUGCGAAGGGCAG